rnacentral:rRNA from 1 species
AGUGAACGCUGGCGGUAGGCCUAACACAUGCAGGUCGAACGGCAGCACAGUAAGAGCUUGCUCUUACGGGUGGCGAGUGGCGGACGGGUGAGGAAUACAUCGGAAUCUACUUUUUCGUGGGGGAUAACGUAGGGAAACUUACGCUAAUACCGCAUACGACCUACGGGUGAAAGCAGGGGAUCUUCGGACCUUGCGCGAUUGAAUGAGCCGAUGUCGGAUUAGCUAGUUGGCGGGGUAAAGGCCCACCAAGGCGACGAUCCGUAGCUGGUCUGAGAGGAUGAUCAGCCACACUGGAACUGAGACACGGUCCAGACUCCUACGGGAGGCAGCAGUGGGGAAUAUUGGACAAUGGGCGCAAGCCUGAUCCAGCCAUACCGCGUGGGUGAAGAAGGCCUUCGGGUUGUAAAGCCCUUUUGUUGGGAAAGAAAAGCAGCAGGUUAAUACCCCGCUGUCCUGACGGUACCCAAAGAAUAAGCACCGGCUAACUUCGUG